GGCUCAAAUUUGAAAUACAGCAGAUCAGUAGGGUCAGCUGAUACUACGGAUCUACUCUACUUCAAAUUUGGGCCC
rnacentral:pre_miRNA from 1 species